rnacentral:rRNA from 1 species
GACGAACGCUGGCGGCGUGCCUAAUACAUGCAAGUCGAGCGGACAGAUGGGAACUUGCUCCCGGAAGUCAGCGGCGGACGGGUGAGUAACACAUGGGCAACCUGCCUGUAAGACUGGGAUAACUUCGGGAAACCGGAGCUAAUACCGGAUACGUUCUUUUCUCGCAUGAGAGAAGAUGGAAAGAUGGUUUCGGCUAUCACUUACAGAUGGGCCCGCGGCGCAUUAGCUAGUUGGUGAGGGAAUGGCUCACCAAGGCGACGAUGCGUAGCCGACCUGAGAGGGGGAUCGGCCACACUGGGACUGAGACACGGCCCAGACUCCUACGGGAGGCAGCAGUAGGGAAUCUUCCGCAAUGGACGAAAGUCUGACGGAGCAACGCCGCGUGAACGAUGAAGGCCUUCGGGUCGUAAAGUUCUGUUGUUAGGGAAGAACAAGUACCAGAGUAACUGCUGGUACCUUGACGGUACCUAACCAGAAAGCCACGGCUAACUACGUGCCAGCCGCCGCGGUAA